GACGAACCGUGCGAACGUUGUUCGGAAUCACUGGGCUUAAAGGGCGCGUAGGCGGCUUGCCAAGUCCGGGGUGAAAGCCCCCAGCUCAACUGGGGAAGUGCCUUGGAAACUGGUCGUCUUGAGGGAGGUAGGGGCAUGUGGAACUUCGGGUGGAGCGGUGAAAUGCGUUGAUAUCCGAAGGAACGCCGGUGGCGAAAGCGACGUGCUGGAUCUCUUCUGACGCUGAGGCGCGAAAGCCAGGGUAGCGAACGGG
rnacentral:rRNA from 1 species